GAGAGCCGUUGUGCCGUGGAAAACGGCAUGCACGGUUCGGAGAAGAGAAUGGUUAGACGAACACUUUCAUGUAACCGCGAACCGUUCUUAUUCUAC
rnacentral:ncRNA from 1 species